rnacentral:rRNA from 1 species
GGGGUAGCAAUACCCGCUGGCGACCGGCAAACGGGUGCGGAACACGUACGCAACCUUCCUUUAACUGGAGAAUAGCCCCUCGAAAGAGGGAUUAAUACUCCGUAACAUAUACAUGUGGCAUCACAAGUAUAUUAUAGCUCCGGCGGUUAAAGAUGGGCGUGCGCCUGAUUAGAUAGUUGGCGGGGUAACGGCCCACCAAGUCUGCGAUCAGUAACUGGUGUGAGAGCACGACCAGUCACACGGGCACUGAGACACGGGCCCGACUCCUACGGGAGGCAGCAGUAAGGAAUAUUGGUCAAUGGACGCAAGUCUGAACCAGCCAUGCCGCGUGGAGGAUUAAGGCCCUCUGGGUUGUAAACUCCUUUUAUCUGGGAAGAAAUGCAUUUUUUCUAAAGUGCUUGACGGUACCAGAGGAAUAAGCACCGGCUAACUCCGUGCCAGCAGCCGCGGUAAUACGGAGGGUGCAAGCGUUAUCCGGAUUCACUGGGUUUAAAGGGUGCGUAGGCGGGCAGGUAAGUCCGUGGUGAAAUCUCUGAGCUUAACUCAGAAACUGCCAUGGAUACUAUUUGUCUUGAAUAUUGUGGAGGUAAGCGGAAUAUGUCAUGUAGCGGUGAAAUGCUUAGAUAUGACAUAGAACACCAAUUGCGAAGGCAGCUUACUACACAGUUAUUGACGCUGAGGCACGAAAGCGUGGGGAUCAAACAGGAUUAGAUACCCUGGUAGUCCACGCCCUAAACGAUGAUUACUCGACAUCAGCGAUACACUGUUGGUGUCUGAGCGAAAGCAUUAAGUAAUCCACCUGGGAAGUACGAUCGCAAGAUUGAAACUC